rnacentral:rRNA from 1 species
UACGUAGGGGGCAAGCGUUGUCCGGAAUUACUGGGCGUAAAGGGCGCGUAGGCGGCCUGCUAAGUCGAACGUGAAAUCCCUGGGCUCAACCCAGGAACUGCGCCCGAUACUGGUUGGCUUGAAUCCGGGAGAGGGAUGUGGAAUUCCAAGUGUAGCGGUGAAAAUGCGUAGAUAUCUGGAGGAACACCGGUGGCGAAGGCGACAUCCUGGACCGGUAUUGACGCUGAGGCGCGAAAGCCAGGGGAGCAAACGGG